ACACAUNGCAAGUCGAGCGGCAGCGGGAAAGUAGCUUGCUACUUUUGCCGGCGAGCGGCGGACGGGUGAGUAAUGCCUGGGGAUCUGCCCAGUCGAGGGGGAUAACUACUGGAAACGGUAGCUAAUACCGCAUACGCCCUACGGGGGAAAGCAGGGGACCUUCGGGCCUUGCGCGAUUGGAUGAACCCAGGUGGGAUUAGCUAGUUGGUGAGGUAAUGGCUCACCAAGGCGACGAUCCCUAGCUGGUCUGAGAGGAUGAUCAGCCACACUGGAACUGAGACACGGUCCAGACUCCUACGGGAGGCAGCAGUGGGGAAUAUUGCACAAUGGGGGAAACCCUGAUGCAGCCAUGCCGCGUGUGUGAAGAAGGCCUUCGGGUUGUAAAGCACUUUCAGCGAGGAGGAAAGGUUGGUAGCUAAUAACUGCCAGCUGUGACGUUACUCGCANAANAAGCACCGGCUAACUCCGUGCCAGCAGCC
rnacentral:rRNA from 1 species